AGUUGACCUCCGGAUCAGGGUAGGAAUCCCCGCUGAACUUAUAUCCAGGACGAGGGGGGGAAAGAAAAA
rnacentral:rRNA from 1 species